rnacentral:rRNA from 1 species
UACGAGGGGGGCAAGUGUUGUUCGGAAUUACUGGGCGUAAAGAGUGUGUAGGCGGUGCUCUAAGUUCGGUGUGAAAUCUCCCGGCUUAACUGGGAGGGUGCGCCGGAAACUGGAGUGCUCGAGCGUGGGAGAGGAAAGCGGAAUUCCUGGUGUAGCGGUGAAAUGCGUAGAUAUCAGGAGGAACACCUGCGGUGUAGACGGCUUUCUGGACCAUUGCUGACGCUGAGACACGAAAGCGUGGGUAGCAAACAGG